GUGGGGAAUAUUGGACAAUGGGGGGAACCCUGAUCCAGCCAUGCCGCGUGUGUGAAGAAGGCCUUUUGGUUGUAAAGCACUUUAAGCGAGGAGGAGGCUACCGAGAUUAAUACUCUUGGAUAGUGGACGUUACUCGCAGAAUAAGCACCGGCUAACUCUGUGCAAGCAGCCGCGGUAAUACAGAGGGUGCAAGCGUUAAUCGGAUUUACUGGGCGUAAAGCGCGCGUAGGUGGCCAAUUAAGUCAAAUGUGAAAUCCCCGAGCUUAACGUGGGAAUUGCAUUCGAUACUGGUUGGCUAGAGUAUGGGAGAGGAUGGUAGAAUUCCAGGUGUAGCGGUGAAAUGCGUAGAGAUCUGGAGGAAUACCGAUGGCGAAGGCAGCCAUCUGGCCUAAUACUGACACUGAGGUGCGAAAGCAUGGGGAGCAAACAGGAUUAGAUACCCCAGUAGUCC
rnacentral:rRNA from 1 species